rnacentral:rRNA from 1 species
GGGGUCCUACGGGGCGCAGCAGUGAGGAAUAUUGGUCAAUGGGCGAGAGCCUGAACCAGCCACGUCGCGUGAAGGAUGACGGCCCUACGGGUUGUAAACUUCUUUUGUCAGGGAGCAAUUGGGUCCACGCGUGGGCUUAGCGAGGGUACCUAAAGAAAAAGCAUCGUCUAACUCCGUGCCAGCAGCCGCGGUAAUACGGAGGAUGCGAGCGUUAUCCGGAUUUAUUGGAUUUAAAGCGUGCGCAGGCGGA